rnacentral:piRNA from 1 species
UGGCAAAUGAAGGUGGCACACACACGCUGU